AUGGCCGCCGCGGGUCAAAGUGUGGUAUCUGUUCUUAUCAGCUUAAUAUCUGAUACGAGUUGUAUUUGCACCCCAUAUUUAAACUUAUUUUUGCUAGUUGGCGGAGUGCUUGAAGCGUGCUUCAUCUCUGCCGCGGGUCGGCCCGGUAUUGCACUAUCGUUUGGAGUAUUGGUCCACGGACA
rnacentral:snRNA from 1 species